rnacentral:misc_RNA from 1 species
GUGAAUCAUCAAAUUUUUGAACGCAAAUUGCACUCUCUGGUAUUCCGUAGAGUAUGCCUGUUUGAGGUUCAGUAUAAUCAAAAUCGGAACUAUUCCUUUUGGGUUAAGCACCGUAGUUUGGGUCAUCUUAACUCUUUAAGAGACCUAAAAUCAACAUUCCUUUUUCGCUCACUUUGAUACUUACAUGAUUUUUUUUAUUCGUCUACCCUGAUGGCAAAAAUUUUACUAGAUCGUGAAUCACUUAUAUUGGUCUCGCGCCUAUAAUUAUCAUAAUUUGACCUCA